GAAAAUCUGGCGGCGUUCAAGAGCAGAGUUCUCUACAUUUGGCCCAACAGCUCAAAUGGAAACUAGAGCACAAGAUCAGAAUGAAGCUCCCACACAUGGCCUUAUGACUGUUGCCCCAGUGAAGAACCCGAGGUCCAGCCUUCCCCACUCAAGACAUGCCUGAGACAAGAGUGACUGUAUUCCAAGUUGAUCCAAGGCCGGGUCUUUUCCUUUCUCCCUGUUUGUGUUAGAUUCGACAUCUUUGGAGGAAAGUGGAUUUCUUCUGCUGCUUCUCUGCGCUACUACAGUGGUGGUAGAGUUCAGCAGUUGUGGCGAGCCAAGCUAAUUGAUGGGACGAUUCUGAAAGAUCUGAACUGUUGCUUUCAUCUGAAAUCCUGGUAGGACUGAUCAUUGCCAGAACACUGAAGGACACAUUUAAUAGACUGUAUAUUUUCAUUCCCUUCAUUGGACUGAAAAAAAUGGAAUCACUGUUUCAUUGGUUGAAGUUACUUUUAUUGCUCUGUUGAUUGAUAUUGAUGUUUGGGGAAUUGAUACUAUUUCUUUUAAAAGGUAUUUUGAUACAUACACCAAUGAAGAUCUUUUGAUGUAUAUACAUUGAGGUUAAAAUGUGUUUUGCUAAUACACAAAAAGGGGUUUAGCUCAUGAAAAAAAAACAGCGUGUGAGUUAAACUAGUUGGGUAGGUUAACUCUAGGCCAACCGUCAAUAUAGCAUAAUUUAGAUUCUAAAUACAUUUAAAACUAAGCAACCACUAACUACGGUCUACUUAAGUGAUUGGUUGGUUAUACACCGAGUGAUUUCAUUCAAGAAAGGAAGCAUAUAUACUCUGUACUCUCGUAUGGGGAUGGGACGACAUGAAAACAAUUUUCAACUGUCCACCACGUUUUGGCA